rnacentral:tRNA from 1 species
AACCAAUAAAUUUUAGAUAAAUAUAUACCUUGAAAGUAUAAAAAGGAGGUUAAAUUCUUCCAUUGGUUU